rnacentral:rRNA from 1 species
AACGAACGCUGGCGGCAUGCCUAACACAUGCAAGUCGAACGAGACCUUCGUGUCUAGUGGCGCACGGGUGCGUAACGCGUGGUAACCUGCCCUUAGGUUCGGAAUAACUCCCCGAAAGGUGUGCUAAUACCGGAUAAUGUCUUCGGACCAAAGAUUUAUCGCCUUUGGAUGGGCCCGCGUUGGAUUAGCUAGUUGGUAGGGUAAAAGCCUACCAAGGCGACGAUCCAUAGCUGGUCUGAGAGGAUGAUCAGCCACACUGGGACUGAGACACGGCCCAGACUCCUACGGGAGGCAGCAGUGGGGAAUAUUGGACAAUGGGCGAAAGCCUGAUCCAGCAAUGCCGCGUGAGUGAUGAAGGCCUUAGGGUUGUAAAGCUCUUUUACACGGGAUGAUAAUGACAGUACCGGGAGAAUAAGCUCCGGCUAACUCCGUG